UCCCUAUGGGGUGCACCAGUCGCGAAAACUCCGCAAUGCACGAAAGUGUGACGGGGCUACCCCGAGUGCCACCCGCUGAGGGUGGCUUUUCUUUGGUAUAAUUAGCCAUUGGAAUAAGGAGAGGGCAAGACUGGUGUCAGCCGCCGCGGUAAUACCAGCUCUCCGAGUGGUAGGGAUGAUUAUUGGGCUUAAAGCGUCCGUAGCCGGCUUAGCAAGUCUCCUGUUAAACUCAGCGACCUAAUCGUUGACCCGCGGGAGAUACUACUAGGCUAGGAGGCGGGAGAGGUCGACGGUAGUCCAGGGGUAGGGGUGAAAUCCUAUAAUCCUUGGAGGACCACCAGUGGCGAAGGCGGUCGACUAGAACGUGCCUGACGGUGAGGGACGAAGGCUGGGGGAGCGAACCGGAUUAGAUACCCGGGUAGUCCCAGCUGUAAACGAUGCGGGCUAGGUGUUGGGGUAGCCACGAGCUGCCCCAGUGCCGCAGAGAAGUUGUUAAGCCCUCCGCCUGGGGAGUACGGCCGCAAGGCUGAAACUUAAAGGAAUUGGCGGGGGAGCACCACAAGGGGUGAAGGCUGCGGUUUAAUUGGAUUCAACGCCGGGA
rnacentral:rRNA from 1 species